GGGCAGAGAAGGGAAGAGAUGCACCUGCCAAUGGGAACGCUCAAAAUGAGGAAAAUGGGGAGCAGGAGGCUGUCAAUGAGGUAGAUGAAGAAGAGGAAGA